GUUCAUUGACUCUGGUUCCCUUGUUUGGUUCCUGUUACUCUGUACCUGCGUUCCAGUGAUUCUUGUCUAAUUCCGGCUUCUGACCUUGGCUUUCCUCCUGGACUACUCUGACCUCUGGCUUCCCUGAUUUUGGCUUCCCUUGACCACGCUUCUGCUAAUCCCUGCUGUACUGAGUCUUGGAGCACUUUUCCUGGAAAGCCCCCGUGCACAGACUCACAG